GGCUCAAUAAAGUAAAGAGGGACACACACAGAGCUCAGAUCUGCAGGUAAUGAACACCCACUCAGCAGGCUCCACCCUGCUGCUGAUUGGAUUCAGGACACCUGUGCGGUGGAUUGUGGCCAACCUGUUGAAAUGUUCUGUGUGUGAAAAUGUGAAUUAAAUAUAAAGAUGAAAGAUGAAUAAAGAAUCAACCCUCUUUA